CCUACGGGGGGCUGCAGUAGGGAAUCUUCCGCAAUGGACGAAAGUCUGACGGAGCAACGCCGCGUGAGCGAAGAAGGUCUUCGGAUCGUAAAGCUCUGUUGUUAGGGAAGAACAAGUACGGGAGGAAAUGACCGUACCUUGACGGUACCUAACGAGGAAGCCACGGCUAACUACGUGCCAACAGCCGCGGUAAUACGUAAGUGGCAAGCGUUGGCCGGAAUUUUUGAGCAUAAAGCGCGCGCAGGCAGUCAUUUAAGUCUGAUGUGAAAUCUUGCGGAUCAACCGCAAGCGGUCAUUGGAAACUGUGAGAAUUGAGUGCAGAAGAGGAGAGCGGAAUUCCACGUGUAGCGGUGAAAUGCGUCGAGAUGUGGAGGAACACCAGUGGCGAAGGCGGCUGUCUGGUCUGUAACUGACGCUGAGGCGCGAAAGCGUGGGGAGCAAACAGGAUUAGAUACCCGAGUAGUC
rnacentral:rRNA from 1 species